rnacentral:rRNA from 1 species
UGGGGAAUUUUGGACAAUGGGCGCAAGCCUGAUCCAGCAAUGCCGCGUGCAGGAUGAAGGCCUUCGGGUUGUAAACUGCUUUUGUACGGAACGAAAAGCUUCUGGUUAAUACCUGUGAGUCACGACGGUACCGUAAGAAUAAGCACCGGCUAACUACGUGCCAGCAGCCGCGGUAAUACGUAGGGUGCGAGCGUUAAUCGGAAUUACUGGGCGUAAAGCGUGCGCAGGCGGUUAUGUAAGACAGAGGUGAAAUCCCCGGGCUCAACCUGGGAACGGCCUUUGUGACUGCAUAGCUAGAGUACGGAAGAGGGAGAUGGAAUUCCGCGUGUAGCAGUGAAAUGCGUUGAUAUGCGGAGGAACACCGAUGGCGAAGGCAAUCCCCUGAACCUGUACUGACGCUCAUGCACGAAGGCGUGGGGAGCAAACA